AGGGUUCGAUUCUGGCUCAGGAUGAACGCUAGCUACAGGCUUACACAUGCAAGUCGAGGGGCAGCAUUGGGAUAGCUUGCUAUUCAGAUGGCGACCGGCGCACGGGUGAGUAACGCGUAUCCAACCUUCCUGCCAGUAGGGAACAGCCCGGCGAAAGUCGGAUUAAUGCCCUAUGUUCUUCAAUGCGGACAUCUAAGUUGAAGGAAAGAUUCAUCGCUGGCAGACGGGGAUGCGUCCGAUUAGCUUGCCGGCGGGGUAACGGCCCACCGGGGCGACGAUCGGUAGGGGUUCUGAGAGGAAGGUCCCCCACACUGGUACUGAGACACGGACCAGACUCCUACGGGAGGCAGCAGUGAGGAAUAUUGGUCAAUGGGCGUAAGCCUGAACCAGCCAAGUAGCGUGCCAGGACGACGGCCCUACGGGUUGUAAACUGCUUUUAUGCGGGGAUAAAGUGCGGCACGUGUGCCGCUUUGCAGGUACCGCAUGAAUAAGGACCGGCUAAUUCCGUGCCAGCAGCGGC
rnacentral:rRNA from 1 species